UUUACACUAGUUUCACACCUCAUCGCCCUGUUAUUUGGCCUCAAGAUCCUGUUAGCUGUCAGUGUCUCUGCCGUCUAUGUCCACAGGAAGCAGAAGUCCUGACUAUCCUUCAUCACUCCCUGCUACCUGGGACCCUCCGUCUCUGCCACCUUCUUCCUGCUCCAUGGUGCUCAGCCUGAGAGAAGGAGCUGCCCAGAAACCUCAGUAGACUCUGCUCCACAUGCCUCCCCCAAGGACACCAGCCCACAGGCCCCUGUUGCUCCUCUGCCCAGUCCUUGAUGUUCCAUGGCUGAGUCUGCACUCAUCAUCCUGAGCUGGGCCAUGGGACCUGCCUCUGGGCAGAACUCAUGACACUUCCCAGAAUGUGACAAGCAAGCCCCACCUGACCACGUCAGGAUGCCUCUCCUCCAUUGCCUUGGGCUUGGCCAUCAAACACCCACAAGUCCUCGCUCUCAAGAGUCAUUCAGCCAUCUUUUUCCUGCCUACCCCUCCUCCCCAGCCUUGUUGAGGUUCUCACAUGAAACUCAUUCUGGUUUAAUAAGGAAAAUUUAUUCUCUUUCCUCUUUACAAAAGUUUCCUCAAACCCAGAAAAAAAAAAAAAAAGUUCUUCUUAAUCCGAUUGAUUUUCUCCCUCAGCACUUAUGAACAACACUAUUGUCCUGGAUAAAGGCAGUCACCACUCUCCAUGAAGAGCAGGAUUGUAAAAAGGACCAUGGAAACUGAAACCCUGGGAAGCCAUCUCCACAGUGGUCAUGAAAGAUAAUGAUUUUCUUCCACCUUUGCAGGAUUUGUCAAAAUUUUUUUAAAACCUAAAAUAUCAGUCAAUUUUCAUCUUAACCGUACAGGGAAAUGAAAACAAUAAUAAAAUGAGUGCUUAGUGCACAGUGAUUUGAAACAUUGAA